CCUACGGGGAGCAGCAGUGAGGAAUAUUGGUCAAUGGACGCAAGUCUGAACCAGCCAUGCCGCGUGCAGGAAGACGGCUCUAUGAGUUGUAAACUGCUUUUGUACGAGGGUAAACGCAGAUACGCGUAUCUGUCUGAAAGUAUCGUACGAAUAAGGAUCGGCUAACUCCGUGCCAGCAGCCGCGGUAAUACGGAGGAUUCAAGCGUUAUACGGAUUUAGUGGGUUUAAAGGGUGCGUAGGCGGGCGGAUAAGUUAGAGGUGAAAUCCCGAGGCUCAACUUCGGAAUUGCCUCUGAUACUGUUCGGCUAGAGAGUAGUUGCGGUAGGCGGAAUGUAUGGUGUAGCGGUGAAAUGCUUAGAGAUCAUACAGAACACCGAUUGCGAAGGCAGCUUACCAAGCUACUUCUGACGUUGAGGCACGAAAGCGUGGGGAGCAAACAGGAUUAGAUACCCCAGUAGUC
rnacentral:rRNA from 1 species